rnacentral:rRNA from 1 species
UACGUAGGGUGCGAGCGUUAAUCGGAAUUACUGGGCGUAAAGGGUGCGCAGGCGGUCCUGCAAGUCAGGCGUGAAAUCCCCGGGCUUAACCUGGGGAUUGCAUUUGUGACUGCACGGCUAGAGUGUGUCAGAGGGGGGUAGAAUUCCACGUGUAGCAGUGAAAUGCGUAGAGAUGUGGAGGAAUACCGAUGGCGAAGGCAGCCCCCUGGGAUAACACUGACGCUCAUGCACGAAAGCGUGGGGAGCAAACAGG